rnacentral:tRNA from 1 species
GCCUUCGUGGUGUAACGGUAUCACACUCGGUGCGUAUUCGAGAGAUCCAGGUUCGAGUCCCGGCGAGUCCA